rnacentral:rRNA from 1 species
GAUGAACGCUAGCGGGAGGCCUAACACAUGCAAGCCGAGCGGUAUUUGUCUUUCGGGACAGAGAGAGCGGCGUACGGGUGCGGAACACGUGUGCAACCUGCCUUUAUCUGGGGGAUAGCCUUUCGAAAGGAAGAUUAAUACCCCAUAAUAUAAUGAAUGGCAUCAUUUAUUAUUGAAAACUCCGGUGGACAGAGAUGGGCACGCGCAAGAUUAGAUAGUUGGUGAGUGAACGGCUCACCAAGUCGAUGAUCUUUAGGGGGCCUGAGAGGGUGCUCCCCCACACUGGUACUGAGACACGGACCAGCCUCCUACGGGAGGCAGCAGUGAGGAAUAUUGGACAAUGGGUUAGCGCCUGAUCCAGCCAUCCCGCGUGAAGGACGACGGCCCUAUGGGUUGUAAACUUCUUUUGUACAGGGAUAAACCUACUCUCGUGAGAGUAGCUGAAGGUACUGUACGAAUAAGCACCGGCUAACUCCGUGCCAGCCGCCGCCGUAA